UACGGAGGGUGCAAGCGUUAUCCGGAUUCACUGGGUUUAAAGGGUGCGUAGGUGGGCUGGUAAGUCAGUGGUGAAAUCUCCAGACUUACUUGGAAACUGCCAUUGAUACUAUCAGUCUUGAAUACCGUGGAGGUCAGCGGAAUAUGUCAUGUAGCGGUGAAAUGCUUAGAUAUGACAUAGAACACCAAUUGCGAAGGCAGCUGGCUA
rnacentral:rRNA from 1 species